rnacentral:misc_RNA from 1 species
CCUGCUGAUGUAGUGUUGAAUGCCGGCAGACAAACACUCAUCCACCAACGAAGUUGCAGCCGCAAGUGAAGCUGUUGAAAGCGCUACCCUACCUGCGCACCGCCACCGGAUCUCUGAGAUCUCAAAUUCCCCGCACAACGUGGAGCAGUCACAUUGCCAGCG